rnacentral:misc_RNA from 1 species
UUGAUUUUAGUUAUUUGUGAACGUGCUACAAACAAACAAAAAAAUAUUAUAGUCAAAAAAAAAUUAAAUCA